AAAAAAAGGAAGGAAAAAAUAAGGAAAAAAGAUAGUCAGCUACACCAAGUAUGACGAAAUACAUGAUCACACAUACCAAGUUUAAAAAUGUACAACUAAUUACACAAAUUAGAUGUAUUGUAUGCCCACAUAUACCAACUAUAUGACGACAUGUGGUCAACAUCACGAAAUCCGGUGUUGACCAUCGUUGAUCGGCAUUGACCACAUGUCGUGAUGUUGAUGUUGACCACAUAUCGUCAUAUAGUUGAUAUAUGUGGGUAUGCAAUAAAUUUAGUUCGUGUAGUUGGUUGUACAUUUCUAAACUUAGCAUGUGUGACCCAUGUAUUCCCUUCUACUUGGUGUAGCUGAGUAUUUUUU
rnacentral:sRNA from 1 species